rnacentral:rRNA from 1 species
UGGGGAAUUUUGGACAAUGGGCGCAAGCCUGAUCCAGCCAUUCCGCGUGCAGGACGAAGGCCUUCGGGUUGUAAACUGCUUUUGUACGGAACGAAAAGGCUCUUUCUAAUAAAGAGGGCUCAUGACGGUACCGUAAGAAUAAGCACCGGCUAACUACGUGCCAGCAGCCGCGGUAAUACGUAGGGUGCAAGCGUUAAUCGGAAUUACUGGGCGUAAAGCGUGCGCAGGCGGUCUUGUAAGACAGAGGUGAAAUCCCCGGGCUCAACCUGGGAACUGCCUUUGUGACUGCAAGGCUGGAGUGCGGCAGAGGGGGAUGGAAUUCCGCGUGUAGCAGUGAAAUGCGUAGAUAUGCGGAGGAACACCGAUGGCGAAGGCAAUCCCCUGGGCCUGCACUGACGCUCA